CGCCAAUAAGUCCAUGUAUUUAUCUGUGUAGUUAAUAGAGCUCCCAGCAUUAGAACAGGUGGCGACCGGCACAUGGCAAUCCCCAGCAAAGAAGUCAAAUUGCUCUAAAAACAGUUUGACUAGUUACAUGGGGGCAGGGGGCCAUGAGACUUCUGGCAUAAUAACCACUACUAUGCACUGUAGUGGUUGUGGUGGAUGGAGUGGUCCUUAACACGCUAAGGAUCCAGUAAGUGUAAAUUCCCUACAAAUCUAGCUCUCACAUUAACAGUAAGAAAAUUCAGUGGAUUGAAUUUCUCCCAUUAUAAGAUUUCUACCUAUUACGCAAUUUUAACUCCCUUACUGGAAAUAGAAUUUCUGGGAUUUUUAGUAAAUUCCAAAUUGGCUACUCUAAGGAAAUUGAAGACAAUUCGGAAGGAGAUCAGAUCAGUUUUAAACAAAGAACUUAUGUCAAUCAGAUCUCUAGUGAGCAUUGUGGGCCUAUUAUCAGCUUCAAUUCAAGCAAUAUUCCCGGCUCCUCUUCACUACCGUGUACUCCAAAGGCUAAAGAGAGAACAUUUACGAAAUGUUCUUUGCUAUUCAGACGAGAUCGAUUUAACUCCAGAUACGAGAACAGAACUAUUCUGAUAUCAUGUCCAAACGUGGAACAGGAAAGCCAUUUUCACAUCAUUCCCGGAUCUAAUUAUAGAAUCCGAUACGAGUCGUAUUGGUUGGGGUGGCCAUUGCGGAGGAAACUCCACGGGAGGCAAAUGGUCUCUGACAGAGACAAAUAUGCAUAUAAAUGCCUGGAACUCAUGGCAGGGUUUUUUGCUUUACAAAGUUUUGCAAAAAAAAAUCCAAUUGUUGCAUCCUACUCAAGAUAGACAAUUUUUCAGGGGUCCAAUAUGUGAACCGCUUAGAAGGCACAAAAUCCAAACAACUGGCUGAUAUUGGCAAAGAUUUUUGGCACUUUUGCUUCGAUCAAAACAUCGUUUUUAGAGUGAAAUAUCUUCCUGGACAUUCCAGGACGAUAGCAGAUUCCAACGAUUGGAUGUUGGAUCCCAUAAUUUUCCGUCUGUUCUCCCUAUGGGGUCCGUUCUGAUACGACCUCUUUGCAUCACGCCCCAGCCGCCAAUUGAAAGAAAUUUUCAGCUGGCGUCCAGAUCCAGAAGGACUAGAUCAAGAUGCUUUUCUUCAAUGUUGGAGGAACGGAAUCAAGUAUGCAUUUCCACCGUUUGCAAUGAUUUCUCAGGUUCUUCUGAAGGCAUGGUCUCAGAAAUCAACCCUAGUAUUGAUAACUCCCCUUUGGCCAUCACAGCCUUGGUUCCCUCAACUUCUCAGCAUGCUAAUAGAUUACCCAAGACUCAUACAAAUGCGUUGGGAUUCUCUGCACGAUCUGGACGGGAAUCUUCACCCCCUGGUGAUAUCAGACCAACUACCUCUAAUAGCAUCACUCAUUUCGGGUCACACGAAUCUCAUAGAGAGUUUUCAGAUUUAACUUGAAACAUACUCUCAGAAGCAUGGACACCAGGUACCGGUGCAAGUUACGGAUUAACCUGGAAAAUUUGGCUUAAUUGGUGCUUGGAACGGGCUGUGUAUCCCGUAGAUUCCUAAAUGUUAUGUCUUUUUCAUUUGAUUCAGGUACAGCAUACCGCGCUAUUAAUGUGUAUCGUUCAG
rnacentral:lncRNA from 1 species